GACGAACGCUGGCGGCGUGCUUAACACAUGCAAGUCGAACGGAAAGGCCCUGCUUUUGUGGGGUGCUCGAGUGGCGAACGGGUGAGUAACACGUGAGUAACCUGCACUUGACUUUGGGAUAACUUCAGGAAACUGGGGCUAAUACCGGAUAGGAGCUCCUGCUGCAUGGUGGGGGUUGGAAAGUUUCGGCGGUUGGGGAUGGACUCGCGGCGUAUCAGCUUGUUGGUGGGGUAGUGGCUUAACAAGGCGUUGACGGGUAGCCGGCCUGAGAGGGUGACCGGCCACAUUGGGACUGAGAUACGGCACAGACUCCUACGGGAGGCAGCAGUGGGGAAUAUUGCACAAUGGGCGGAAGCCUGAUGCAGCAACGCCGCGUGCGGGAUGACGGCCUUCGGGUUGUAAACCGCUUUCGCCUGUGACGAAGCGUGAGUGACGGUAAUGGGUAAAGAAGCACCGGCUAACUACGUG
rnacentral:rRNA from 1 species